UUUCCAUUUAUUGGUUUCUCCAUUCAGGACUAAAAUUUUCUUAACUCAAUUUUGGAAAUGACAUUUAACACAUCUCGGAUUUUAAGAUAAAGAAGAAUCUUCUGUCUUGACACUUUAUUUGUGAUGCGAACGUUUAUCUACGUAUUAUAUGUAUUUAUUUAUGAAAAUAGUAGCAUUAAAUUAAUAAAAUUAGUUUUUUUAGAACUAAUGUUGAUAAGCUUAAUUGUGGAUUAAAUUUUUUAUUAGAUAAUUAAAAGAAUUAAAGACAUUAAAAGAUAACGUGAUUACACAUGCUAGUUGACGCAGAAAAUUUCUCCAAAAUAAAAUGAGUUUUAUAGAUAUGAGAGGAAUCGGGAAAUUAAUAUAAUGGAGUCUUUUGACACUUCUCUAAAAAAAAUGCUGAGGAAUUUAAGGAAGCUGGAAGGACCUCUACUGCGAAUGUAUUCUACACAAUACAAAGUUGAACAUGAUCAGAACCUAAAAGAAUUCUCUUUAGGAACUGGAACAGAGAAAGCUGUUCUUCAAUAUCGAGUAUUGUCUCCUUCAAAAAUUGAGUUGGAGCAUACAAUUGUACCUGAAAGCUUGCAAGGAAAAGGAUUAGGAAAAUUGCUUGCUGAGGCUGCAUUAGAGUAUGCUCUUGAUAAGAAAUUGACGGUAAAAGUGACUUGUGUUUUUGUCCAGAAGUAUAUAGAGAAAAACCCAAAACCUGAAUUCAAUGCUGUACUAGAUCACUGAGAACACUUCUACUCUUUCAAGAACGGAUGUAUAAUUGUGUAAAUGCGGGGGAAAAAAAGAAGAGUAAAUUUUGUGAAAUCACAAAUGUAAAGAUACUCAAGAAAACAAAGUAUGAAUCUGGAAUGUUUUAUUGUUCCUUUUGCAUCUGCUUGGUUUCCUUUUCUUAAUACAGCCAUUUGUUGUUUUUAUUGCUUUAAUUUACCUUGCAUGAUUAAACUUGACAUUGUUCUGUUUUUUUCCUUCAACUUUUCUUUGAAGCUAUGUUUAAAUCUUGUACAUCCAACUAACGUUUCCUAUUUUUACACACUGUUUAAUGAAAUAUGCCUGAAAAAGUUGCAUAAAUUGUUGUUGUUUGGUCAAUAUUUAGUCCCCUCCCCCUUCAGUGAUUAUUGGACAUUCAAGACAAUUUUA